CCUGCACGACAGAUGUUGAACGAACAUAUCUUACGCUAUCUUUUUAAGGUCAAUGACACUUUAAGUUAGACUCGAAGUUAGUGCGGAGCUAGUAGAUAUAUACUGUAUAUCUACAGUCUGUGUCUGUAUAAUAUACAGACACCGUUUCAAUAGUAAAUAGCAAUAGUAGAAACAAUAGUGACAAAAAUCCGUAAUAAACGUACACGACCACGAUUGCUCGAAACAAUUAUUACACCACACCAUCAAGUGAAUGACAACGGAAAAUACAAUUUAUGGUUCCGGAAACUUCACGGUUAACAAUUAAUUUAAAAUAUUAUACAUAAACCACUCAUUCCAGUUAUAACAACAUUGCUGAAUAUUAUUUAAGUUCAACGUUUUACUGUCGAUAUCACAGUAUAAUGAAUCACGAACAAAUAGUAAUGUGCUUCACAUGUUUAUUUAGAACGGGUCAUACGAAAAUACGUGUUAUGACGGUGUUUUUCUAAACCGGAUGGAAAUAUAUUGUAACUAUAGCAGUAAUAUUGAGUGUAUUACGUGUUCACUAGUUGAUACCUAAUGUAUUUAAAUAAAAGUCCUACAAUGUUAAUUGCUAGAAUUCGGUAUGCAACGUCAUAAUAGCAACUCGUUAAGUAAUGAAAGGUCUCUGUAGCCAUGAAUCUAUAAUGAAAACAAAAACCCUCUUUUGCAUUUCUUCAAAAUCUAUCACGCAUAUGCAUAGCAUGAUAAUUCGAUUGCAUUUUUGUAAUCGACAAUAAUGAUUAAUUCUUUUAAUAUUUUUUCAUAUCAAAAAGAAAAAUUAUUAGGUAAAAAUAUAUAGAAAAUUUUAAACAAGCAUAGUGAUACAAUAGACAAUAAUAAUUAAAUCUGUAGAAGUAGUUUUUCUAUAUGAAGCGAUUGACACAGUACAAUUAGUUCGGCGAUUCAUAACUUAGGUAGAAAUAAAAUACAAUUCAUUUCCCUUAAGUUAACCUAAGUCCCCUUAGGUUCGGACAACAUUAGUAUAUAAGGUAAUUCUUCUUCAUUAAAAAAACUAUAUCCGUAUAUCUAUGUAAUCUUAAAAAUAACAUUUUCAGUCAAAUAGUUUAAAGUAAAUUUAUUUAUAAAAUUUAAUAACCAAAUACGUAACUGAAAACCAUCCAAAAAGAAUUUAGAGGAAUGUAAAAUAUUUUAGGGGUUUAUUUACAUGUGUCUAGGAUCUUGAAAAAUAAAUGUUACUAGGAUCCAAAGUCUAAACUAUUACUUACGUUAUAAACACAUUAAUUUAUAUUCACUGAAUUGAUAAUUAAAUAAUUAUUUUUAUUACAUAAAAAAAGUCACACAAUAUGCAUUUCACUUACUAAAUCAGCCAAAGCCGUAGUUACAAAAUUUGGCGAAAAGUUAAACCAAGAAUAGUUUAGAAUAAUUAAUUUGGUGGGGGCUAAUUUAAUUUAAUCCCUCGAACAAUAAUUUCUAUAAAAUUAUGCAAAAAUGUUAAUUAAAAACUAAUAGACCUGGACCUCUUAGUUUCCCUACACGACGCCUACAAAACCAAAUCUUAUAUUUUUCUAGAACGAAUACGCGUUUGCUGCACGAUAGAGGGGAUGAUCCCUUAACCCCUCAAUUACUGGCUUGAAAUCAGAUAUUAUUUAUUUUCAAAAUAUUGAUCAAUACAUAUAUUUUUAGAUUUCAAUAUGUUUAACCAAAUAAAACUCAAA